GAUGAACGCUGGCGGCGUGCCUAAUACAUGCAAGUCGAGCGAACGGACGAGAAGCUUGCUUCUCUGAUGUUAGCGGCGGACGGGUGAGUAACACGUGGAUAACCUACCUAUAAGACUGGGAUAACUUCGGGAAACCGGAGCUAAUACCGGAUGAUAUUUUGAACCGCAUGGUUCAAAAGUGAAAGACGGUCUUGCUGUCACUUAUAGAUGGAUCCGCGCUGCAUUAGCUAGUUGGUAAGGUAACGGCUUACCAAGGCAACGAUGCAUAGCCGACCUGAGAGGGUGAGCGGCCACCCUGGAACUGGGACACGGUCCAGACUCCUACGGGAGGCAGCAGUAGGGAAUCUUCCGCAAUGGGCGAAAGCCUGACGGAGCAGCGCCGCGUGAGUGAUGAAGGUCUUCGGAUCGUAAAACUCUGUUAUUAGGGAAGAACAUAUGUGUAAGUAACUGUGCACAUCUUGACGGUACCUAAUCAGAAAGCCACGGCUAACUACGUG
rnacentral:rRNA from 1 species